GACGAACGCUGGCGGCGUGCCUAACACAUGCAAGUCGAACGAAGAAUGUUUUCGGAAUAUUCUUAGUGGCGGACGGGUGAGUAACGCGUGAACAAUCUGCCCCGUACAAAGGGAUAGCCUCGGGAAACCGGGAUUAAAACCAUAUAACACUUAACUGCCGCAUGGUAGUGAAGUCAAAUCGAUUAAGAGGUAUGGGAUGAGUUCGCGUCUGAUUAGCUAGUUGGUGAGGUAAGGGCUCACCAAGGCGACGAUCAGUAGCCGGCCUGAGAGGGUGAACGGCCACACUGGAACUGAGACACGGUCCAGACUCCUACGGGAGGCAGCAGUGGGGAAUAUUGCACAAUGGAGGGAACUCUGAUGCAGCGACGCCGCGUGAGUGAAGAAGGUCUUCGGAUCGUAAAACUCUGUCCUUGGUGAAGAAAAGGACGGUAGCCAAGGAGGAAGCCCCGGCUAACUACGUG
rnacentral:rRNA from 1 species